AUAAUAAAUCACUUAGUACUAGACUAGAAAAACUUUGUUUGUUACAGCGUGGACAACUCAAGUAUCCUUUCAGAGAACCCAAAUCCUUUUGUUGUUGGCCCAAAAUCUACUUUGGGACGAAACAAUUACACUCCUAAAGCUACCAAGGGUGCCUCGCUGAAUGGCACCUAGGUCAAUGUUUUGCAACCUUCCACAAGUUUUUCGCUGAAGAUACAUUGCAAUUGCAACAAAAAUGUCUUCGUG
rnacentral:lncRNA from 7 species